AUUGAACGCUGGCGGCAUGCUUUACACAUGCAAGUCGAACGGUAACAGGCCGCAAGGUGCUGACGAGUGGCGCACGGGUGAGUAAUGCAUCGGAACGUGCCCAGUCGUGGGGGAUAACUACUCGAAAGAGUAGCUGAUACCGCAUACGAUCUAUGGAUGAAAGCGGGGGACCGUAAGGCCUCGCGCGAUUGGAGCGGCCGAUGUCAGAUUAGGUAGUUGGUGGGGUAAAGGCUCACCAAGCCAACGAUCUGUAGCUGGUCUGAGAGGACGACCAGCCACACUGGGACUGAGACACGGCCCAGACUCCUACGGGAGGCAGCAGUGGGGAAUUUUGGACAAUGGGCGCAAGCCUGAUCCAGCAAUGCCGCGUGCAGGAAGAAGGCCUUCGGGUUGUAAACUGCUUUUGUACGGAACGAAACGGCUCUGGUUAAUACCCGGGGCUAAUGACGGUACCGUAAGAAUAAGCACCGGCUAACUACGUG
rnacentral:rRNA from 1 species